GUUCUGGAACACAAGACCCCCAACAGGAAUUCCAGUCAGAGGAUAUGUCACCGACAACAUGAGAUCAUUUCACCCCAGGAUUUGUAUUUAUGUAUCUUCUGCAGUAGAUAGCUGUCAGCUUUCUCCAUGACAACUGCUCCCAGAAUGGCUGCCUCAGGACCAUGUCUUCUGCUCUUGAUUCUGCAACUAAGACUACCACGGAUUAAAGAUGGACCUGGAGAACAACAGGAACAACAGAAAGCCUACAGACUCAUCAAAACUGAAUAACUCUCUACUCAAUGAACACUGAGUCAAGAAAGAAUUAAAGAAAGAAAUUAAAGCCAA